AGACUGUUGGUGGUGUGGACACUCGAUAAAAAGAGCCUUAAAGCACUCCCAAGCAUGAUAGAGGUUUUUAUUAGGUUUCUGUUUGAAGCUCACUAUCUCACUGCAAAGUCU
rfam:Capsicum annuum cultivar Zunla-1 chromosome 1, whole genome shotgun sequence